GUAUUUUGGGCCUGAUUCAAAGCCUACCGGAGUCAAUGGAAGUCUUUCCACUGAUUUCAAUUGCUUUUGGAUCAGGCCCCUACAC
rnacentral:pre_miRNA from 1 species